GUUAACAGUUACCUUGAACAGUUGUAUGGGUGUCUCCUUCAUGCUGGGACCUCCUGUAGGUGGUAUUCUUUACUCCUGGACCAACUUCUCCCUUCCUUUCCUCCUUUCAGCAGUCCUCUGCUUCAUUUCCAUAAUUAUGGUGAACCUGGUAUUCAGGAACCUGAGAGAAAGCAGGCUAGCAGCUGACAGUCACGUGGUGUCUACUAAAGUCGUCUUCACCAAGUCCUGGCAUCUCUUUACAAACAUACGUUUCUUGUGGAUAUUGGUGACAGCAAUGUUUGGUACAGCAUGCACUUCAUUUCUAGACCCAACUCUCUCCCCAUAUCUCUCACUACAAGG